ACGCUCGACACCUACUGGAGGCAGCAGUGGGGAAUAUUGCACAAUGGGGGAAACCCUGAUGCAGCGACGCCGCGUGAGCGAAGAAGUAUUUCGGUAUGUAAAGCUCUAUCAGCAGGGAAGAAACUGACGGUACCUGACUAAGAAGCACCGGCUAAAUACGUGCCAANGCCGCCGGUAAGUACUGAGCGGGCGUGGCGAAGGACG
rnacentral:rRNA from 1 species